UACGUAGGGUGCAAGCGUUGUCCGGAAUUAUUGGGCGUAAAGAGCUCGUAGGCGGUUUGUUGCGUCGGCUGUGAAAUCCCGAGGCUCAACCUCGGGUCUGCAGUCGAUACGAGCAAACUAGAGUGUUGCAGGGGAGACUGGAAUUCCUGGUGUAGCGGUGAAAUGCGCAGAGUAUCAGGAGGAACACCGGUGGCGAAGGCGGCUUUCUGGGCCUUACCUGACGCUGGAGGAGCGAAAGCUGGGGGAGCAAACAGG
rnacentral:rRNA from 1 species